CACCUCUAGCAUUCCAAGUAUUAGAGGCAUUGCCUGCCCAGUGACUAUAGUUUAACGGCCGCGGUAUCCUGACCGUGCAAAGGUAGCAUAAUCAUUUGUUCCUUAAUUAGGGACUAGUAUGAACGGCUAGACGAGGGAUCAACUGUCUCUUAUUUUUAAUCAGUGAAAUUGACCUUCCAGUGAAGAGGCUGGAAUACAAUAAUAAGACGAGAAGACCCUAUGGAGCUUAAAUUAACAAGCUUAAUUAUUAUAUCAACACCCUAAUGGCACAAAACAAAAAAUAUAAGCUUAAAAUUUUGGUUGGGGUGACCUCGGAGAAUAAAAAAUCCUCCGAAAGAUAUAUGACAUAGACCUACAAGUCAAAGUAACCUAAUUAUCCAAUUGACCCAAAAAUUGAUCAACGGACCAAGUUACCCUAGGGAUAACAGCGCAAUCCUAUUUAAGAGUCCAUAUCGACAAUAGGGUUUACGACCUCGAUGUUGGAUCAGGACAUCCCAAUGGUGCAGAAGCUAUUAAUGGUUCGUUUGUUCAACGAUUAAAG
rnacentral:rRNA from 1 species